rnacentral:rRNA from 1 species
CCUACGGGAGGCAGCAGUGGGGAAUAUUGCACAAUGGGGGAAACCCUGAUGCAGCGACGCCGCGUGAAGGAAGAAGUAUUUCGGUAUGUAAACUUCUAUCAGCAGGGAAGAAAAUGACGGUACCUGACUAAGAAGCCCCGGCUAACUACGUGCCAGCAGCCGCGGUAAUACGUAGGGGGCAAGCGUUAUCCGGAUUUACUGGGUGUAAAGGGGGCGCAGACGGCGAUGCAAGCCAGGAGUGAAAGCCCGGGGCCCAACCCCGGGACUGCUCUUGGAACUGCGUGGCUGGAGUGCAGGAGGGGCAGGCGGAAUUCCUGGUGUAGCGGUGAAAUGCGUAGAUAUCAGGAGGAACACCAGUGGCGAAGGCGGCCUGCUGGGCUCUAACUGACGCUGAGGCACGAAAGCGUGGGUAGCAAACAGGAUUAGAUACCCGUGUAGUC